UUCCCUUUGAAAUCCGUGAUAAUUUGCAAGCCCUGCCACAUCCGAUGAGCGCCACAGUCGGCGUAGUAGUAUUCAAUGUUAGUCCUGUAUUGGCGUUGUGACUCUUUGAUGGCUCGUCGGAGGUCGUAGCGGGAUUCUUAUGAGCAUCCGGAAUAGUGUCCCGCUCUUUGAAAUCGACAGCUUUUGCCUUUAGCUCAGUGCUGAUGUUGCCUGUAAUCCAUGGCUUCUGGUUGGGAUAUUGUGACGACCCUCCCACUCGGUCUGCCAAAUUCUUUCUCUCUGCUCUUGUUUUCCUUAAUAGGAUGUCGGUGGGCGGAGCUGGGAGGGUUGUCAGCGGAAUGGGACACACCUGGGCUUGGGUGUGUCCCGGGGAUAAACACACCUUUCCCCCAUACAUCAAGGAGACUCUCUCCAUGCAGAUACACUGUUGUUUUUGGUUGCGCACCAGCUGUUGUUAACAAAGAGACACACACCUCCCCCGUUAACCUUACCCAAAGCUGCCAUUCGGUAUUGACAAUGCAUAGAAAAACCAUCUAGAAGUAAAUAUUAUCCAUAUCCUUGUUCAGCCACGACUCUGAGAAAUAUAGAAUAUUACAGUUCGUCAGGUCCCAUUGAUAGGAUAGUCAAGAACGAAGCUUGUCCAGUUUGUUCUCUAGUGAUUUCCCGGGAUUAGGGCCUGGUCUGGAAUAAGCAGUACAUCCACAGCUGCCGACUCGCUGAAGUAGAAGUCUUCAUCCAAAUUGAGGAAUUCCUGAUGGUCCGGUGCAGCUGAUCUUUAUCUCUCCUGAAAGCCUGUUCAUUGACCAGUGGUGGUCCUGGCUGACGACCAUUAAGCACAGGAUAUGCCUCCUGGCCAUGGACAAUGUGCACUGCAUGACAUUCAGAGUAAAAAAUAAAUAAACGUAUUGAUGUCACUUGUCUCUUGCAAGCAUAUAAUGCAACUCAAGUACAUGCAGUAACUAUAAACACAACACAUUCUUUGACACCAUAAUUCCCAUCCCUGCAGAGAACGAUACCUAAGCAUGUGACAUCUUUCAAUAACAUACCAUUCUUUAUUGCUGUCUUUAAUGCAAUGAGUUUCACCAAAGUAACUCUGGUUUCAGAUAAACGGUAAUACUGUAUGUACGCACACAAACAUAAAAAGGAGAGCCCAACAGCUAAAUCAUACAUCAC
rnacentral:lncRNA from 1 species